rnacentral:misc_RNA from 1 species
CGCACAUUGCGCCCCCUGGCAUUCCGGGGGGCAUGCCUGUUCGAGCGUCAUUACACCACUCAAGCCUGGCUUGGUAUUGAGCGACCGCGGCCUGCCCGCGCGCUCCAAUGUCUCCGGCUGAGCCGUCCGUCUCUAAGCGUUGUGAAUAGCGAUCGCUUGCGAGGCCCGGGCGGUUCGACGCCGUUAAACCCCCCCAUUUUCUAUGGUUGACCUCGGAUCAGGUAGGGAUACCCGCUGAACUUAA